ensembl:snoRNA
GCAUGGCUGACUACAGUAGUUUACACAGCCAGACACCAUGCAAAAGCAUCUUCCUUUUUAAAUGACUGAUGAUAUGCUAAGUUAUUUCAUAGCAUAUCAUUGUUAAAGGUGAACACAAAU